rnacentral:lncRNA from 1 species
GAAGGCCUAAGAAUACACAUCCAUUGAUGAAGCCAUUGGCACCUCAAUAUCAAUGAGCUUGCUGCCUAAUACUAACAGAAAAUAAUAAAUUCUUUACGACAAGCAUAGAGUGCGAAACCUGUAUUGUCGUCCGUAGGGGGCAAGCUUACAACCACACCUUCCCUAAACAUUAACGCUUUUGCUUGGUUCUCACAUCCAGAUCAGACUUUGAC